GAUGCAACGCGAAGAACCUUACCUGGUCUUGACAUCCACGGAAGUUUUCAGAGAUGAGAAUGUGCCUUCGGGAACCGUGAGACAGGUGCUGCAUGGCUGUCGUCAGCUCGUGUUGUGAAAUGUUGGGUUAAGUCCCGCAACGAGCGCAACCCUUAUCCUUUGUUGCCAGCGGUCCGGCCGGGAACUCAAAGGAGACUGCCAGUGAUAAACUGGAGGAAGGUGGGGAUGACGUCAAGUCAUCAUGGCCCUUACGACCAGGGCUACACACGUGCUACAAUGGCGCAUACAAAGAGAAGCGACCUCGCGAGAGCAAGCGGACCUCAUAAAGUGCGUCGUAGUCCGGGUUGGAGUCUGCAACUCGACUCCAUGAAGUCGGAAUCGCUAGUAAUCGUGGAUCAGAAUGCCACGGUGAAUACGUUCCCGGGCCUUGUACACACCGCCCGUCACACCAUGGGAGUGGGUUGCAAAAGAAGUAGGUAGCUUA
rnacentral:rRNA from 1 species